AUGGCGGUAAGCUCCAACGAGGAUAAUACGAGAAUCUCGUAUUAUCCUCGAUUUCAAUAAGCACCAAGCGGUAUUAUCCUUCAUUUUGAUACCGGUGUUAACUUUAAUACGCCGAUUUCGACGUAUUAAGAUAAUCCGAGAUUUUCUUAAUAUGGCUGCGUGCGAAAAAAAAUGAUUGCACACACACCAAUGCACAAAGGGGAAAUGUCAAACGAAAAAGAAAUCAUAACAGCUGACUAUCGAAACCAUCGAAAUCUCGCAGCAUCUCAGAUCGAAACAGCAUCGGAGUGAAGUUUUUAAAUAUUCAUCCGCUGGAACACGUUCUGCCGGAUCCUGAACGCCGUAAACGCUAUCCCGAAGCCGCACCAACACGGGAACUUGAUGCUGCUGUUUGUCUUAAAAGGAUAUUUCCAUAAAAAGACUACAGUGACAACGCAUCUUGGAAGAUAAGGAGACGGAAGAUGGCCAUGAAAAGGAUUCCGCGAGUUUCAAGGGGAAUAAUGAUUCCCUGGUUAAGCAGACGCGUGAUCCGAAACAGAGUUUCUCCGAUAGAUUGAGUCGAAAUAUGCGUCUGAUCAUCAAUAAUGUCUCCGCAAACUUUUGAAUGAAUCAUCCCCUCUUCAUAAAUGCUUAAAAUAGUUUUGUAUGUGACCGAAUAUAACUUAUUUGUUUUAAUAAUAUAAUCUUAAUUCAUAAGUUAAACUAAAGCUUAGGCUACAACUAUAAA